rnacentral:rRNA from 1 species
AUUGAACGCUAGCGGGAGGCUUUACACAUGCAAGUCGAGCGGAGCGGCGGACGGGUGAGUAAUGUAUCGGAACCUGCCCAGUAGAGGGGGAUAAAUCCUGGAAAGAGUGGAUAAUACCGCAUACUAUUGGCGGGGCCCAUAUGGGAUUAGCUCGUGGGUGGGGUAAAGGCUCACCAAGGCAACGAUCCGUAGCUGGUUUGAGAGGAUGAUCAGCCAUACUGGGACUGAGACACGGCCCAGACUCCUACGGGAGGCAGCAGUGGGGAAUAUUGGACAAUGGGGUCAACCCUGAUCCAGCCAUCCCGCGUGUAUGAUGAAGGCCUUCGGGUUGUAAAGUACUUUCGGCAGAGAAGCGGUACCUGCAGAAUAAGCACCGGCUAACUCCGUGCCAGCAGCCGCGGUAAUUC